rnacentral:rRNA from 1 species
UGCAGUCGAGCGGUACAGGGGUAGCUUGCUACCCGCUGACGAGCGGCGGACGGGUGAGUAAUGCAUAGGAAUCUGCCCGGUAGUGGGGGAUAACCUGGGGAAACCCAGGCUAAUACCGCAUACGUCCUACGGGAGAAAGGGGGCUCCGGCUCCCGCUAUUGGAUGAGCCUAUGUCGGAUUAGCUAGUUGGUAAGGUAAUGGCUUACCAAGGCAACGAUCCGUAGCUGGUCUGAGAGGAUGAUCAGCCACAUCGGGACUGAGACACGGCCCGAACUCCUACGGGAGGCAGCAGUGGGGAAUAUUGGACAAUGGGGGGAACCCUGAUCCAGCCAUGCCGCGUGUGUGAAGAAGGCCCUCGGGUUGUAAAGCACUUUCAGCGAGGAAGAACGCCUAGUGGUUAAUACCCAUUAGGAAAGACAUCACUCGCAGAAGAAGCACCGGCUAACUCCGUGCCAGCAGCCGCGGUAAUACGGAGGGUGCAAGCGUUAAUCGGAAUUACUGGGCGUAAAGCGCGCGUAGGUGGCUUGAUAAGCCGGUUGUGAAAGCCCCGGGCUCAACCUGGGAACGGCAUCCGGAACUGUCAGGCUAGAGUGCAGGAGAGGAAGGUAGAAUUCCCGGUGUAGCGGUGAAAUGCGUAGAGAUCGGGAGGAAUACCAGUGGCGAAGGCGGCCUUCUGGACUGACACUGACACUGAGGUGCGAAAGCGUGGGUAGCAAACAGGAUUAGAUACCCUGGUAGUCCACGCCGUAAACGAUGUCGACCAGCCGUUGGGUGCCUAGAGCACUUUGUGGCGAAGUUAACGCGAUAAGUCGACCGCCUGGGGAGUACGGCCGCAAGGUUAAAACUCAAAUGAAUUGACGGGGGCCCGCACAAGCGGUGGAGCAUGUGGUUUAAUUCGAUGCAACGCGAAGAACCUUACCUACCCUUGACAUCUACAGAAGCCGGAAGAGAUUCUGGUGUGCCUUCGGGAACUGUAAGACAGGUGCUGCAUGGCUGUCGUCAGCUCGUGUUGUGAAAUGUUGGGGUUAAGUCCCGUAACGAGCGCAACCCUUGUCCUUAUUUGCCACCACGUAAUGGGUGGGAACUCUCAAGGAGACUGCCGGUGAC